CAGCAGCCGCGGUAAUACAGAGGGUGCAAGCGUCAAUCGGAUUUACUGGGCGUAAAGCGUGCGUAGGUGGCUGUUUAAGUCGGAUGUGAAAGCCCUGGGCUUAACCUGGGAACUGCAUUCGAUACUGGAUAGCUAGAGAUCGGUAGAGGGCAGCGGAAUUCCGGGUGUAGCGGUGAAAUGCGUAGAUAUCCGGAGGAACACCGAUGGCGAAGGCAACUGCCUGGGCCUGAUCUGACACUGAGGCACGAAAGCGUGGGUAGCAAACAGGAUUAGAUACCCGCGUAGUCCCUGUCUCUUAUAC
rnacentral:rRNA from 1 species